rnacentral:tRNA from 1 species
GGAGGGUUGGCCGAGCGGUCGAAGGCGGCGGUCUUGAAAACCGCAGUGGGCAACGCCCACCGGGGGUUCGAAUCCCUCACCCUCCG